CCUUCACCAAAAAAGUGGCUGCAUAGUGCCAAACGAAUGUAUGGCCGUUACGCAUCUUGUUAUUCUAGUGUCUUUGAUAUAGCCAUGUCUGCCUGUCCGUAUGAUCGUCGAGAUCUAAGGAACUAUAAAAGCAAGAAGGUGGAGAUUAAGCAUACAGAUUCCAGAGGCAAAGACGCAGCGCACGCCCUCUCUAACGCCCACAAACCGCACAAAAUUACCUCGCCCACAAGGGCGUCGCCUGGUCAGCAGCCAGGGGGCAAUUAGUAGACUUCAUCUUCCAACACUGGAAACUCUUAGUGAAUGUACCUAUCAAAACAGCUUAUGUAUGGGAAGCAGAUCGAUAGAAUUUGAGGCAGAUUUACUAAGAGAAUAACAACAGUACAUAGUGUAGAUAAACAACGGGAAGUUACGUGAUAGGCAGCAAAUUAUGAAAUUUCUUGAACAUUCCUUUUAGGUCCAGGUGGCAGCUGCCCUACCCUGGCGACACCUUUGCACGUCCACACUUCUGAACCAUUUUUCGAAAUUUUUUCAUAAUUUAAUUAGUCUUGUAAAUUUUUAUGGCACAAAACUGCCCCGCCCACAUUUCUGAACCAUGUUUUAAAAUUUUUUCAUAAAUUUGUUAGUCUUGUAAUUUUUAUCCAUUUGCUAAAAAUCUUUUUGCAAAACACCUAAAACGCCGCACUUUUAAUCAAUUUAGAUUUUUUUUUCGUAUUUAUUACACAAUAUCUAUCGAUAUCCCAGAAAAAUGCUGAAAUUUCGUGUUGGCAUUCACGUGUCAUAAAAUAUACAAUAUAUAUACAUUUUUUUUACUGGCAGACCAAAGACAAUGUAAUAAUUCUAGUGUCUUUGGCCAGACUCUAUAUUUUUGGUCGCCAUAGUAAGAAAGGCAAGCAGAAUUUCAAGAAACGGUACUUACGAAACUCAAAUGAUGAAAAGGAUAGAAACAGGUAGAGUAGGACGAUGCGAUGUUGUUGGUUUUGAACGUUUCUAUUCAGUUGCAUUUUCAAUUUUAAAUCGUCAAGUUCGUCAGUGUGUUCUGAGAAAUUUAGCGACGUCUUUGCGGUUUGUAUCUUGCAAGUAUGUAUUUAUUUAUAUAUAUAUUUAUAUUUCCUUCUUUGCAUCUAAUUAUUAUUUUUUUAUGUUACUAUUAUUUAGUAUUCCCAAUACAGUUGUACAGCUUGUUGUCUUGCAGACAGAUAGUCUUUCGUCUAUCAGGGUAUACAUAGAUAAACAUAAUAAAUCAACACAGCUACUGAUACUGAAAUUUAUGGACUUAUAAUUAAGUAAAAUAAAAAAUGCAAUAUUUCUUAAACUGGGACUUUGUUAUAUACUUUGGGAACACUUUAGGUACAUAUGACAACCAAAACCCUUUCAGGAAAUUCUUACAAAGGCAUUUCAGGGAAUGCACCCAAACGGAUUUUAGGGAAUUACGAAGCAUUAAGUAAAGUUACCAUAUCCUUAAUGUUGCAGUACUUCCACUCGAGAAAGAAUUAUUUUGAAAGGACUUCCGGAGUACUUCCACUUCCGUCUGCGGCAGCUCUCUUAUACGUAUACAUUGACAACUGCAUGUGUGUACACACGUAUGCUCAUGCAUUGUAAAUUUGAUCUAAAAUUCUUUUCACUUUACAAGUUCUUAUUUGAAACUUUUGAUCAAUUGGCACCAUGUAAAAUAUUCUCGUUUUGCAUUGCCUUAACAUGAUAAUGAAAGAAUAUAGCAUAGAAAUAGAAAUAGCGGAAUCUACCCUGCAUUACCGUCCACCGAUGAGUCACCGCUCAAAAGCGAUAAAGAUCGCUUAAUGACCGCACAAUUUGUAUGAAAUCAGCGAUGAUUUUAACCUAGGCAGUCACAGCUAUGAAAAAAUUCGCACAAACACAGCUGAAAGAGCGCAAAAUUAUCGUUUUAAAUCCCCGUUUUUUAGGCGCUUUUCAAACGCAUUCAUCGGUGUAUUCUUCGCUUUUUUACCGCUGUUUAUUCAGUUAAUCCCAACUCCUUCUAAAGUGAUAAAUUUGUUUUAAUUUGGCUUAUUAAUUAAAUAAAUAUAAAAUACCAGAGUCUGGGGCGUCUUGUUGUUCUUUGGAGUUAGGCCCACAUUCUUUUUGGAAGAAUGGGUCCACAUGUCCGAUUAACUUUAAAGUAAAAUAUGUUAUUUAUAGCAUGUACAAAAAUGUAUUACGAAAAAUUAUAUAUUCUGCGAUUCGCAUUGAAUUUUUAUGAGAGAUCGCGCACGAGAGUCGGAAGAGCGUUGGCUCUGCAGCUGAAACAGUUGUGGAACUGCAGGUAUUCAGCCUUCGACGUUUGAAAAACCGUGCCUGAAGAAAUAAAUUUUUCAAUAAACAUUUCA